UAGUUGACCUUUGGACUCUAUGUUAAAUAGUCCCCUUUCUAUCUUUCUGCCUCUCAGAACUGUCUGACAGGUUGGGUCAGGCAUAUAGAAAUGAAAGCUUUUAUCACUACCAUGUAGAGGCAGCAUGGUAAGUUUGGAAGAGAUCAGGUUUUGGUGUUAGGGAUGAGUUCAAAUCUUAGCUCUACUCUUGAGGAGCUAUGACCUUGGGUCAGUUACUUAGCUUCUUUGAGCCUUUAUCAUCUGUAAGAGGGAGAUUUUAUAGAAUGAAAAAAAAAAAAAAAAACUAACAGAGACUUUGUGAAGGUAAGUUGUGACACAUAUAAAACACCUAGCAAAGUGCCUGGUACAGAGCAAGGCUGAGCUAAUGCAACCUACAGUGGAUGGGAGUGGGGAGGGAGAUAGCAGCAAGAAGUGACAAUAAUGCCAGUGAGAGGAGUGGCCUUGGCUACAGCAGCAGAUGCAGCAGCAACUUUCUUUUUCUCUUUGUUUGUUCAGAUGCUGCCUUUAUAAUGGUAAUGGAUUACUUUAAAAUUCAAAGUCCAUUCUAGUGAUAAAGAAAAAUGAUAGUGGAUUUCCCUGUAAUUAAUGGCAUUUUUUUAGCAUUUGUCUGAUUAUAAAUAGAAAAUAAGAUGCCUUCUGUGGUGAGUAGCGUGCCUUUCUAGUUUUCUAGAUUUAUGAAUUUAUCCCAUAUGAAAUUAAUUAUUGUGGGUGUAUUACAUGGAUGUGAAACAUCUGGAAUAAUAGGGUUUUUAUUGUUAAUAGACCUCUCAGGAGCUCAUGACAAACAUCCUUAUAAUAGCAACAUAUGCUGCUAGUUUAAUGAGAACCAUCACUGACAAUUAAUGGUUCUUGUGCUUUCAGUAAAUUACACAUUUUCGAAUUUUAUAUUCUUUAUUUUCAUCUUUAUGGUUUCAGUUUCUGACUUGUGUGAAAUUAAAGCCAGAGCUACUUACAGAAGAAGAAAAUGUUUAUUGAAUGUGUACUAUGUGCCAAGCUUAGUGCUGUAUAAUUUAUAUACAUGAGUAUUUAUGGACAUGUAAUUACUGUUGAACUUCAAAGCAAUUAAACAUCUCUUUAUUUACAAACUGGAAAACUGAGAUUCAUGACUUACCAUUGGCAAUGUCUAAGCCAGGAUUAAAAGGUGCAUUUGGUCUUUCACUCAUUAGAAGAGAAAUUAAUGUUGCAAAAAGAUUUCCUUUUCAAUAAAUCAAAUUUCUACUUGCAAUAGACUCAUCAGCUUUACAUAUACUAACCUUCUAGUUAUCCCUGUGUCAUAUGAGCUUAAGCUAUGUACAUAAGAUGCUAAUAAAGAAAUAUGUGAAUUUAAUAUUUUGAUGUAUCUUGGAAAAUAAUCUAUGUGUGAUGCUAGGUCAAGAGUUGUGGAUAGAACUAGGAGAAGAAUAUACUCUUGUUCCUUGUUCUCUUGGUACAGGGAAAAGGAAUUUUUAUUGAGGACCAGCUAUGAAAAGCCAUAAGCUGGCAACAGAUAACCUAAUGCCCUGAAGAAAUUUCUGCCUGGAUCCCAUGAUCACCCUGCUGCUUUUUCCCCAUUUGUUCAUUUCAGGGAUUAGAUAAUUUUUAGAUAUAUUGUUGAUGAAAAAGAAACAUUGUUGAUAUACUGAUAGCUAGAAAGAAGAAUUAACCCCUUCAUGUUUUAUAAAUCUGGAUUUAGUCACAAUUGCCUUUAUAUAAGGUAUAGAAGCAAGAGUCUUACCACAGUAUCCAAUUUUAUUAUUUUCAAGGCAUGUGUAUUAAUUGAAAUUAUCAUGUUCAACUUUUGAAUCUUGAUUAUGACUUCCUCUCAUCACAAGAAUAUAAGUUUCAUGACAGUAGAUACCUUUCCUGCUUUGUAGUCUGCUGUAGACCCAAAGGUUAGAGUAGUGCAGGCACAGAGGUGGCACUCAACAAAUAUCUAUUGAAUGAAUGAGUGGCUGUGUUUUAAAUUUGUGUCAUGUAUCCAUUCACUAUAUCAUCAUCUAAGAAGUGUAUGCUUUGUGCCAGGGCAGGUAUACAUACCUACAUAACAUAUGCAGACAUGAAAGGCAAGAUUGCAUGAAAGGUAGGUUCAUAAACUCAACUUAGUGUCUGGACCCCUCGUUACAUAAACUCAGAAAGUUCCAUGACUUUUCUGAGCCUCCUUUAUCUCACCUGUUAAUAUAUGAUAACAUAUUAUAAUAUAUGCCUGUUCUAUCCAGCCAUAGUAGUGAUAUGCAGUCUAUUGUUUCUGCCCUGACUCAUUUUUAGGCUUCUGAGAACCUAACCUGGUAAAAGAGUAGAUGAUUCUCUCUGACUAAAAUAUGGCAUCUAGAAAUAGUCUUUGGAUUGCACACCACAUGUUCAUGUGCAUGUUUAAGAGCAAAAGCGGAUGCUUUCCAGAACCCUAGGACAUGGCAGUUAUCUGCUCACUACCAGAUAGGGCUAUGCUUCCAGGCUGGCUACCGUCAGAGUUUUAGGUCAUUACUCCAGUAGAAGGAAAGGAUCCUGGUACUAAAGACACUGGCCUGUGAUGGGCUUAGCACCCUCACCUUGGUCCUGCCAAACUCCUUCCCUGAACAAUAGGCACUGCUUUCCACUUUCCAGAUAUUAUUUCAGGAUCUCCCAGUUCUAAGGUUUGGCCAAAUCUCAGAUGCCCCAACGUGCUAUCAUCCGAUAUCUUACAUCCGAUACCUUAGAUGUCAAUAGCCCAAGUCAAAUUCAAGUUUAUUCCUCAAUUCUUUUCGAUCUCCCAAAUUAAACAGCUAGGCUCUCUGUAAGCAACUAAUCCAGUGAAUUCUGCCCAGAUACCAUACUGUUCUCACUACUGAUUCAGUGUGGUAAGAGGAAAAUGCAAAUAUAAAAGUACGUAUCUUUAUGCUUGUGUGUCUCCAGAUGAAAUCUGACAAGAGUCAUUGACCACUCUUGCAAAUAAACUUCGCUUCGCAUGUGAAGAGCGUAAUUUUCAAGGUCAAUUGCAAACAGUCUCCACUAAUCCUGAACUAUAAGCUGCAUUCACACCUCAAGUGACUAUUUUCUGCUUUUUUAACCUAAGCUAAACACAAUAAACUAUUGACAGAUCCUCACUAGUAAUAGAAAUUACCCCAUACUGAACUUUAGCUCAAGAUAAUUCUACAGAUCAAGACUGGAGCUAUAUUAUACAUUUGGUCUGGAUUCCAUAUUAUGAAGCCCAGGGAUUCUUUAAGAGUUGGAGUGGUAAAGAUACUCAAUAUAAUAUAAAGUUUCUAAGCCUGUUUUCACUUUAUUAACCACUUUCUGAAAAGAAGAAAAUAAGACUCUUCCAAUGAAUGAAUUCUAUUCAGCUUGCUAUCCAUCGAGUGAAUAAAUCCUUGACAAACCCCUACAGCCCAGCACCCUCCCUGGCACCUGCAUGUGCUCAGUAACCAUUGGUGGAAUGAAAGAAUGUCAGCCACUGACCUUUUUUCUCGUGGGUCAUGGGAGCUGAGAAAGACCAAGGUCAGAGAUAAUGAGACUUCACCACCUCAUGGCCACAGUAAGAAUUAUGAAAGUGCUUUAGAAGGGAGUUAUUUGAAGCUCAGUGGGGAAAGAUUCUUCAUCCUCCCAGAUCUCUGCUGUCACUUUACAAAGAGAAAUAAAGACUUAUCUUGAUGACAAGGGACAUUUGGGGAUAAAGCUGUGGAAUAUGGUCUGAGUCUGGAGUUCUCAGAGGGCAGUAGGUGAAGCAGUUUGAAUAACAGAAGAGCCCUUCUUUAGAAUCCUCCACAGAGGCUCAGGAAGGUGUGUAAAGCUCUUGGGAUUUGAUUUUACUUUUCAGGGUUUUCUAUUUUGUUCUCGUAUUUGCUGUCACUUAGCGAACAGAAAGCAAACCCAGUAGCAUGUUCAAGUUGUAUAGUUCUGCCUUUUUUUUUUCCUUUAAGAGAAAAGGGAGAAGGUCAUGGGAAGCCUUGUGAGGAAGAUGCCUUUUUAUUUUCUUCUGAUAAAAGUAUCUGUACAAUAUUGAAAUGGUAGGUAGAACCUGCUCACCAUUCUUGGGGAAUUUUUAAUAUGCAAAGAAUCUAAAGAUUUUCUUUGAGUAUCUGAAGAAGGAAAGAAGUUAACUAUCUGUGUAAUCUAUGAAAAUUUAUCAUCUUCUUACUUCCCUAUGUCCUUAAAUUAGAUAAUCUGUAAAGAAAUGAUUAAUGAUACAGCCUUUGCCCUUUGAAGGGAAUGGAAAAAAGGCACUAUUUAGCAUGUGUCUACCACCUGUUCAAAUCUAUGAUAAACAUAUUAUAGUCUGACUUCACUGAACACUCAUAACGACCCCAUGAGGCAGAUGUAAUUAUCCUUAUUUUACAAAUCAUAAAAUUGAGACUCAGGAGGUUGAAGAUGCUUGUCUUUUGCUUCUCAAUCCCUUAUCACUCAGCCCUGACUCUCCUGGAGGUUCCCCUGUCCUCACCUGAGAGAGCUAACCUUCCCUCCUCUGUGCCAUCUCUGUCUUUCCCACAUACUUUUAACAUUGUAUCUCUGCAUUUGAAUUAAUUUCCUUGCAAGUUUUUUUUCCCCUUCACAAGUGUUGAAGUCUCUAGAUAGUCAGGAUUGGGGUUUUCAUCUCUAUAUUCUUUGUACCAACCACAGAAAUGUUUAGUUUUUGAAGUAAAUGCCACAUAACCAAUUAGGCAUGGAGUCAGAAUUUAAAUUUCAUGUCUCUUUGAUUUUGAAAUCUCAUGCGUUUUUCAUUAUACCAUGAUGUCAAAACCCAAAGACAGACAGAAAGAUUAACACAAUUGUGUUAUUAAGUAACGUGCUUAAGUAACACAAUUAUACCCCAUUACCAUACUUAAUAUAAAUAUACCAGGGUUAUAGAAUAGGUAGGCCAUUCAUAGGUAAUGCAAAUUCAGAAAAUAUGAAGCCCAGGGAGAGUGUGUAGCUCAUAUGAAAAAUCUAAGAUUAUUACUUUUGCUUCACCAAUUUAUUAUUAUUAUUAUUGUUAUUGUUAUUGUUAUUAUACAACUACAACAUGAUAGGCCCUGUGGGAAGUAGAAAGUUAAGGCAAAAAUAACAGGAAUCCCACCCUUCCUAAAUUGUAAGAUACCAUGAAGCAAGGAAAUGCGCAUGUUCUGCAGUGUGUUUUGUUUUGAGUUAUUUAUCUCUCUGAGGUAGACGUUUUGAAUGUCUAAGUUGGUGCUAAUUGUACACCUCAGGAUCAUUAUAAAAAUUAAAACAGAUAGUGUAAGCUAUUGAGCCUAGUGCACAACAUAGAUGAAGAUCAAUUAAUCAAUAUUACUCCUCAGUUUAAAUACAGAUAUGAACAUGGAUCUAGACUUAAAUCAGGUGUUCCCAGGGGAGGAGAGAGGGAUAUUUAUUUCUUUAGGAGACACCUGGCCAUUUCUAGAGGUGUUUUUGGUUAUCACAAUUAGGGGCAUGUCACUAGCAUCCGGUGAAUAGAAUCCAAGGAUAUUGUUAGACAUCCACUAAUGCACAGGGAAGCCAAUCCCCCACAGCAAAGAAUUAAAGAAUUAUCUGGCUCCAAAUGUCCUGGGAUAUAAAUGUGAAUGCAGGUAUAGAUUCAGAUACAAAAAGUACUAAGUGUGACAAGUAUGAGGUCUAGUCUAGAGGGCAUUUAGAGGUGGAAAAGAGGUGAACUAUGGCCCCAGAACUUAACAGAAUUUAUGAAAGAGUCAGGGUUAAUCUGCACUAUGUGAUGCAACCAGAUAGAAAGAGGGAGAGAGCGAGACAGAGAGAAAGCAAAUGGGAUUUUAGGAAGAGCUUGAUUAGUGAGGAAAAGAGUCUCUUGGGGAUUCGAGUCAACAAAGGAUUUUCCAAGCAUACAGUGGAAAUCUGGAAGAGUAAGUGGAGGACUUAGCUGGACUGUAUAACAAGAAUGAUGGUAUAAAAAGCAAAAUGUGUGGUGGAUUGAAAAUGAGGACCAUGGAUGAAAUGUGUGGUGGAUUAAAAAUGAGGACAAGGAGGAAAAGACAAGGAGUAUAGACAAGGAACACGUAAAGAACACACAUUGUGUUCCUUCAUUUACUGAAAAAGAAAAAGACAUUUAAAAACAUCAGUGACCCGGGACUUCCCUGACUAGUAUCCAUGAGUAUGCUGAUUCAAUCCCUGGCCCUGGCUCAGUGGAUUAAGGAUCUGGUGUUGCUCUGGGUUAAGGAUCUGUGGUGUAGGUCACAGACAUGUCCUGGAUAUGACAUUGCUCUGACUGUGGUAUAGACCAGCAGCUACAGCUCUGAUUCCACCCAUAGCCUGGGAACUUGCAUAUGUCAUGGGUGUGGCCCU
rnacentral:lncRNA from 1 species